rnacentral:rRNA from 1 species
UUAUGCUGAUAAGAGCGUAUGGUGGAUGCCUUGGCACUAAGAGCCGAUGAAAGACGUGAUAAGCUGCGAAAAGCUUCGGGGAGGAGCAAAUAUCCUUUGAUCCGGAGAUUUCUGAAUGGGGAAACCUACUUGAGCAAACCUCAAGUAUCCUUAAGCCAAUACAUAACUUAAGGAAGGGAACCCGGUGAACUGAAACAUCUAAGUAGCCGGAGGAAGAGAAAACAACAUGUGAUUCUGUGAGUAGCGGCGAGCGAAAACGGAAGAGCCCAAACCAGCGUGCGUGCAUGCUGGGGUUCGGACCGCGGAAUUGAUUCAACGAGUUUAGCAGAACGGUUUUGGGAAAGCCGGCCAGAGAGGGUGAAAGCCCCGUAAGCGAAAGACGAGUUGACAUGGCGGGAUCCAGAGUACCACGAGACACGUGGAACCUUGUGGGAAGAUGCGGGGACCACCCCGUAAGGCUAAAUACUACUUAGUGACCGAUAGCGCAUAGUACUGUGAAGGAAAGGUGAAAAGGACCCCGGGAGGGGAGUGAAAAAGAACCUGAAACCAUAUGUUUACAAGCUGUGGAAGAGCUUUAUAUGCUCAACCGCGUACUUUUUGUAGAACGGUCCGGCGAGUUACGCUGGCUGGCGAGGUUAAGGACUAAAGGUCCGGAGCCGAAGGGAAACCAAGUCUGAAUAGGGCGCAUAGUCAGUCGGAGUAGACCCGAAACCGGGUGAUCUAUCCAUGUCCAGGUUGAAGUUGCCGUAAAAGGCAAUGGAGGACCGAACCCACAUCCGUUGAAAAGGGUGGGGAUGAGGUGUGGAUAGGGGAGAAAUUCCAAUCGAACCCGGAGAUAGCUGGUUCUCCUCGAAAUAGCUUUAGGGCUAGCCUCAUACGAGUCUUGCGGAGGUAGAGCACUGAAUUCCUAAGGGGGCGUCAAAGCUUACUAAGGGAUAUCAAACUCCGAAUGCCGUGUAGAUGAUGUAUGGGAGUCAGACGAUCCGAGAUAAGUUGGGUGGUCAAAAGGGAAAGAGCCCAGACCAACAGCUAAGGCCCCAAAAUGUGUGUUAAGUGGAAAAGGAUGUGGGAUUUCGAAGACAACUAGGAUGUUGGCUCAGAAGCAGCCAUUCAUUCAAAGAGUGCGUAAUAGCUCACUAGUCGAGAGGUCCUGCGCCGAAAAUGUCCGGGGCUAAAACACACUGCCGAAGCUUUGGAAUUGAAUUAAUUCAAUUGGUAGAGGAGCAUUCUUAAAGGGACGAAGCAGUACCGUAAGGAGCUGUGGACUUUUAAGAAGAGAGAAUGCCGGAAUGAGUAGCGAGAGGAAGGUGGGAAUCCUUCCGGCCGAAUAUCUAAGGUUUCCAGAGUAAAGCUGAUCUGCUCUGGGUAAGUCGGGGCCUAAGGCGAGGUCGAAAGACGUAGUCGAUGGAUAACAGGUUGAAAUUCCUGUACUAUCCUGUAACAGAACUGUGGGGACACAGGCAGAGAGCGUGAGCCGGGAAUGGAAAGACCGGUACAAGCGAGGUAGGAGAAGAGUUGGCAAAUCCGCUCUUUAAUCUGAAGACGUGAUGUGGACUGAAAAUAAGUAGGGAAGCACGUGAGCUGACUNNNNNNNNNNUCAGUUGGCAAAUCCGCUGAACAAUCUGAAGACGUGAUGUGGACUGAAAAUAAGUAGGGAAGCACGUGAGCUGACUGUCAAGAAAAGCCGCUAUUGUUUGCAGGAUACCCGUACCGUAAACCGACACAGGUGGAUGAGGAGAGAAUCCUAAGGCCGACGGGAGAAGCAUUGUUAAGGAACUCGGCAAAAUGACUCCGUAACUUCGGGAGAAGGAGUGCCAGUAAGAUGGCCGCAGAGAAUUGGCCCAAGCAACUGUUUAGCAAAAACACAGGUCUAUGCAAAACCGAAAGGUGAGGUAUAUGGGCUGACGCCUGCCCGGUGCUGGAAGGUUAAGGGGAGAGGUUAGCGCAAGCGAAGCUUUGAACUUAAGCCCCAGUAAACGGCGGCCGUAACUAUAACGGUCCUAAGGUAGCGAAAUUCCUUGUCGGGUAAGUUCCGACCCGCACGAAAGGCGUAAUGAUUUGGGCACUGUCUCAACAAUGCACCCGGUGAAAUUGAAAUACCAGUGAAGAUGCUGGUUACCUGCGCCAGGACGGAAAGACCCCAUGGAGCUUUACUCCAGCUUGAUACUGGGAUUCGGUAUUGCAUGUACAGGAUAGGUGGGAGGCUAGGAAAUGGUAACGCCAGUUGCCAUGGAGCCGCUGUUGGGAUACCACCCUUGCAGUACUGGGUUUCUAACCAGCAGCCGUGAUCCGGCUGGGGGACAAUGUCAGGUGGGGAGUUUGACUGGGGCGGUCGCCUCCGAAAGGGUAUCGGAGGCGCUCAAAGGUUCCCUCAGAAUGGUUGGAAACCAUUCGAAGAGUGCAAAGGCAGAAGGGAGCUUGACUGCGACACCGACGGGUGGAGCAGGUACGAAAGUAGGACUUAGUGAUCCGGUGGUAUAAAGUGGGAUUGCCAUCGCUCAACGGAUAAAAGCUACCCUGGGGAUAACAGGCUUAUCACUCCCAAGAGUUCACAUCGACGGAGUGGUUUGGCACCUCGAUGUCGGCUCAUCGCAUCCUGGGGCUGAAGUAGGUCCCAAGGGUUGGGCUGUUCGCCCAUUAAAGCGGUACGCGAGCUGGGUUCAGAACGUCGUGAGACAGUUCGGUCCCUAUCCGGCGUGGGCGUAAGAUAUUUGAGAGGAGCUGUCCUUAGUACGAGAGGACCGGGAUGGACUGGCCGCUGGUGUAUCUGUUGUCUUACCAAAGGCAUAGCAGAGUAGCCAAGCCGGGAAGGGAUAAACGCUGAAGGCAUCUAAGCGUGAAGCCCCCCUCAAGAUGAGAUAUCUCAUAACGUCAAGUUAGUAAGACCCCUUGAAGACGACGAGGUAGAUAGGGCAGAGGUGGAAGUGUGGUAACACAUGGAGCUGACUGUUACUAAUAGGUCGAGGGCAUAACCAA